UUGUAUUUAAUAAAUAGAGAGUCGGACCUGCCCAGUGGUAAACUCAACGGCCGCGGUACCCUGACCGUGCAAAGGUAGCAUAAUAAUUUGCCUUAUAAUUUAAGGCUAGUAUGAAAGGUUUGACAAGAAUAUAACUGUCUCUUUUUGGCUAAUUAGAAUUUUUCUUUCAGGUGAAGAGUCCUGUAUAAAAUUAAUAGACAAGAAGACCCUAUCGAGCUUGAAAAAAAUUAAUGAAUAAAUAAUAAUAAAGUAAAAGUUAAUUCAUUAAAAAUUUUAGUUGGGGCGACUAUAGAACAAACAAAGCUUCUAUUAUCCUAGAUUAAAACAUACAAGUAGCGACCCAGAAGAACUCUGGUUAAAGAAAUUAGUUACCGUAGGGAUAACAGCAUUAUCUUUUUUAAGAGUUCUUAUCGAAAAAAAGGUUUGUGACCUCGAUGUUGGACCAGAAUAUCCUAAAGGUGCAAUAGCCUUUAAGGGUUGGUCUGUUCGACCAUUAAAAUUCUA
rnacentral:rRNA from 1 species